UAAAAGUAUCAGUAGGUCUAACUCUGCUUUCAGCUAUAGCCAGGGAGGUGGGUGGACUAACACAGAGCUCACUGCUGAACUACUGAACUUGGGUGGAUCAGAAACAGAAUUGAAGCUAUUUUAUCUGGACCUAAUUAAACAACCUUCAUUACUGGCAGGUAUGUGUUUGUGAUGACUAGAAAUUAGCUUGAUUGGAAUUAAACCUCAAAAUAUAAGGCAUUGAA
rnacentral:lncRNA from 1 species